UCAUACCAUGCAAAUUUUACCUUCAAUUUUACUUCUGACCGUGGACAACUUGUUGAAAAGAAAAAAGAGGAUGCCGGUUUAUAUUUCAGAAUUCCAAACAAGAUCCAAACUGGAUGUGAAAACGCGACGGACCCAGAUAGGUGCAGUGUAUUACGUAGUCCAGCGCUUUUCGCUGAAAGUAUUCUUCUCAACGAUCUUCGGGGGUCAAGCUGUCCAAUCCGUUCACAGCUUCCUGUGUGCAUCCUUACUGACUACGCCUACAUGGGUUUAUAUGCUCCAAACUCGUCGAUGUAUAAAGUUUACUAUGUGAAGACCAAUGCGUCUCCUCCAUAUGGCCGGGAUCCGCCUGGCUCUAGGAACAAUUCAUGGUCACCAUUUGGAAUCACACUACCGGGAUUAGGAAAUCGACCUGGUUUUGGAAUCGUCACGCCACCAACUGGCUUGGGUUCAUCUGGGUUCGAGUCUACAUCUGGAAAACCUCUACGUGGAUUACAACGUAUAUUUGGAAGACGUCGACGUACACGUCCAACUAUUCCACCGACACGAUCUACUAAUCUGUUCUUUUAAACUAAUAAACGAGGGCGUUUUGGA